GAUGAAGAACGUAGCGAAAUGCGAUACGUAAUGUGAAUUGCAGAAUUCAGUGAAUCAUCGAAUCUUUGAACGCAUAUUGCGCUCUUUGGUAUUCCGAAGAGCAUGCUUGUUUGAGUAUCAGUAAACACCUCAACCUCUUCUUGAUUUUUCAAAAGGAGGGUGGACUUGAGCUAUCCCAACAACCUUUACCGGUCGGCGGGCGGCUUGAAAUGCAGGUGCAGCUGGACUUUUAUCUGAGCUAAAAGCAUAUCUAUUUAGUCCUCGUCAAACAGGAUUAUUACUUUUGCUGCAGCUAACAUAGAGGAUAAUUGUCCUCUUUGCUGACUGAUGCAGGAUUUUACGACACUUUAUGUGUUGUUCAACUCGAUCUCAAAUCAAGUAAGACUACCCGCUGAACUUAAGCAUAUCAAUAAGCGGAGGA
rnacentral:misc_RNA from 1 species